rnacentral:rRNA from 1 species
CCUACGGGCGGCUGCAGUGGGGAAUAUUGCACAAUGGGCGCAAGCCUGAUGCAGCCAUGCCGCGUGUGUGAAGAAGGCCUUCGGGUUGUAAAGCACUUUCAGCGGGGAGGAAGGCGUUAAGGUUAAUAACCUUGGCGAUUGACGUUACCCGCAGAAGAAGCACCGGCUAACUCCGUGCCAGCAGCCGCGGUAAUACGGAGGGUGCAAGCGUUAAUCGGAAUUACUGGGCGUAAAGCGCACGCAGGCGGUCUGUCAAGUCGGAUGUGAAAUCCCCGGGCUCAACCGGGGAACUGCAUUCGAAACUGGCAGGCUAGAGUCGUGUAGAGGGGGGUAGAAUUCCAGGUGUAGCGGUGAAAUGCGUAGAGAUCUGGAGGAAUACCGGUGGCGAAGGCGGCCCCCUGGACAAAGACUGACGCUCAGGUGCGAAAGCGUGGGGAGCAAACAGGAUUAGAUACCCGGGGAGUC